GAGUUUGAUCGUGGCUCAGAUUGAACGCUGGCGGCAGGCCUAACACAUGCAAGUCGGGCGGUAGAGAGAAGCUUGCUUCUCUUGAGAGCGGCGGACGGGUGAGUAAUGCCUAGGAAUCUGCCUGGUAGUGGGGGAUAACGCUCGGAAACGGACGCUAAUACCGCAUACGUCCUACGGGAGAAAGCAGGGGACCUUCGGGCCUUGCGCUAUCAGAUGAGCCUAGGUCGGAUUAGCUAGUUGGUGAGGUAAUGGCUCACCAAGGCGACGAUCCGUAACUGGUCUGAGAGGAUGAUCAGUCACACUGGAACUGAGACACGGUCCAGACUCCUACGGGAGGCAGCAGUGGGGAAUAUUGGACAAUGGGCGAAAGCCUGAUCCAGCCAUGCCGCGUGUGUGAAGAAGGUCUUCGGAUUGUAAAGCACUUUAAGUUGGGAGGAAGGGCAGUAAAUUAAU
rnacentral:rRNA from 1 species